GAUCAUGGCUCAGAGCGAACGCUGGCGGCAGGCUUAACACAUGCAAGUCGAGCGGGCGUAGCAAUACGUCAGCGGCAGACGGGUGAGUAACGCGUGGGAACGUACCUUUUGGUUCGGAACAACACAGGGAAACUUGUGCUAAUACCGGAUAAGCCCUUACGGGGAAAGAUUUAUCGCCGAAAGAUCGGCCCGCGUCUGAUUAGCUAGUUGGUAGGGUAAUGGCCUACCAAGGCGACGAUCAGUAGCUGGUCUGAGAGGAUGAUCAGCCACAUUGGGACUGAGACACGGCCCAAACUCCUACGGGAGGCAGCAGUGGGGAAUAUUGGACAAUGGGGGCAACCCUGAUCCAGCCAUGCCGCGAGAGUGAUGAAGGCCCUAGGGUUGUAAAGCUCUUUUGUGCGGGAAGAUAAUGACGGUACCGCAAGAAUAAGCCCCGGCUAACUUCGUG
rnacentral:rRNA from 1 species